UUGAACUUGAAUUCCAACGGUAGAAAAGGGAGGGAGAUGGAAGAUCACGAGUCACGACCUCUACGCGCAAAUUCUGAAGUUAUCGUCUAUGACUUCGGAGGAAUCGCUGGAGAAGAUCAUCACGACGCUGUGGAGAACUCGUAAAAUGGGUCUCCGGUCACCGGAGAAAUCGAGCUUCCAAUCUCUUCUGCGACUCUCCUCUGCCAGAGAACUCGACCCUGUUUUGGCAUGCCUUCGCUCCCUUAUCCGGAAAUGCACACGUGAAAGCAUCACGAAUGAGGAUCUUCUAAAAGCUCUUGCCACCUGAUCUAUCGCUUGACUUGCAAGAGAUGCUAGUGCGAGUGCUGCAUAAAUACACACGUUCUUGGAAGGAAAAACUAUGCAAGGAGCAGGUAUCCCUCAAAUCCAAGAGCUAGAUCAAUCGAAUAAGAAAAAUGGAUUCUUGUGUAUUGGCUCCCACCAUUUCAGGAUAGAGAUACUCUGCUCACACUGGAUGAUCCUUCAAGACCUUCACGACCUUCAUCCCACCCUUUGUUAUCCCUUCCAUCGUCACAAAGUUCAGCGUUGUUGGCUUACCAAGAUCAUCAUAUUCCGUAUCUUACUUCUGAUAACGUUGAUCGUUCUGCAUCAGUUAAUGCUAGUGACCAUGGAGUCUUACAUCCUUGUUCGAUGCCUCUUCAAAAUGUUGUUGGUACUGCAGGGUGAAGUCCAAAGCUUCAAAUUCAUAAAGUGGGUCAUUGAGAACCCAGAUCUAAGCCUGUUGACAGAGUGGCAAUUGACAGCCUCUUGCUGGAAGAUUGCAGAGAGCAACCUCCAUGAGAAACAGAAGUCAAAUUUAAAGUUACCAUGGAUAUACUCGAAACUGUCUUGAGGUCUAUUAACUCACAUCAGCGAGAAACUCUCAAGCUCCGGAAUGAGUGGUAGUGAACCUGCACAGAAGAAACACAAGCAGUAGCAGAACACAGAAACCAUAGAGACUGUGUACAGAGUUUUGAAGUAAUAAGAUAAGCACACACUCUCAAAAAAUUCUGAAAUGCCUAUCAUCACCAUGGAAUGAAGAUUAUGAUUUGCAAGUUGAAAUGCUUA